UCCCUGGUGGUUCAGACGGUAAAGAAUCUGCUUGCGAUGCCGGAGACCCAGGUUUGAUUCCUAGCCAGGGAA
rnacentral:tRNA from 1 species